rnacentral:rRNA from 1 species
AGCAGCCGCGGGAACACCGGCAGCUCUAGUGGUAGCAGUUUUUAUUGGGCCUAAAGCGUCCGUAGCCGGUUUAAUAAGUCUCUGGUGAAAUCCUGUAGCUUAACUGUGGGAAUUGCUGGAGAUACUAUUAGACUUGAGACCGGAGAGGUUAGAGGUACUCCCAGGGUAGAGGUGAAAUUCUGUAAUCCUGGGAGGACCGCCUGUUGCGAAGGCGUCUAACUGGGACGGUUCUGACGGUGAGGGACGAAAGUUAGGGGCGCGAACCGGAUUAGAUACCCGGGUAGUCCUAACUGUAAACGAUGCGGACUUGGUGUUGGGGUGGCUUUGAGCUGCUCCAGUGCCGAAGGGAAGCUGUUAAGUCCGCCGCCUGGGAAGUACGGUCGCAAGACUGAAACUUAAAGGAAUUGGCGGGGAGCACCACAACGCGUGGAGCCUGCGGUUUAAUUUGGAUUCAACGCCGGACAUCUCACCAGAGGCGACAGCUGUAUGAUAGCCAGGCUGAUGACUUUGCUUGACUAGCUGAGAGAAGUGGUGCAUGG